GGCGGGGUAGCUCAGCUGGUUAGAGCAGAGGAAUCAUAAUCCUCGUGUCGGGGGUUCGAGUCCCUCUCCCGCUACCA
rnacentral:tRNA from 25 species